UUUUGUGGGGUGCUCGAGUGGCGAACGGGUGAGUAACACGUGAGUAACCUGCCCUUGACUUUGGGAUAACUUCAGGAAACUGGGGCUAAUACCGGAUAGGAGCUCCUGCUGCAUGGUGGGGGUUGGAAAGUUUCGGCGGUUGGGGAUGGACUCGCGGCUUAUCAGCUUGUUGGUGGGGUAGUGGCUUACCAAGGCUUUGACGGGUAGACGGCCUGAGAGGGUGACCGGCCACAUUGGGACUGGGAUACGGCCCAG
rnacentral:rRNA from 1 species